AUUGAACGCUGGCGGCAGGCCUAACACAUGCAAGUCGAACGAGUGGCGGAAGGGUGAGUAAUGUCUGGGAAACUGCCUGAUGGAGGGGGAUAACUACUGGAAACGGUAGCUAAUACCGCAUACCAUAAGAUGUGCCCAGAUGGGAUUUGACAGUUGGUGGGGUAACGGCUCACCAAGGCGAAGACCCCUAUCUGGUCUGAGAGGAUGACCUGCCACACUGGAGCUGAGACACGGUCCAGAGUCCUACGGACGGCAGCAUUGGGGAAUCUUGCACAAUGGGCUCAGGCCUGAUGCAGCCAUGCCACGUGUAUGAAGAAGGCCUUGGGGUUGUAAAGUACUUUCAGAGGGGAGGCGUUACCCGCAGAAGAAGCACCGGCUAACUCCGUGCCAGCAGCCGCGGUAAUAC
rnacentral:rRNA from 1 species